AUUAGGAGAUAAUGUAGUAUAAUGCCAGAGAUCCCCAUUGAUUUGCCAUGCCUGCCAGAUGAGCCUGAUAUCGACCCAAGAACAAGGCAAUCAUGAGAAAGUUCUUCUUCUGCUUAUGCAACCUUCAUGGACACUCUACUCACGGUGCACAAGUGCAUGCUGGUCCUCGGAGCCAAACAUUUCCAAGGUGUUCGAGCUAAAAGAGUCUCCAGGGUAUCUGAGCAUCGAUUUAAAGGUCCCGGGAGAUACCAUGUGAGGAGGAGCAACCUCCUCUGCCUCUAUGGACUAGCCUCCACUGGUCUGCACCUAGCCUCUGCCUCAAGCCUACUGUUUUAAAGUCCAGCCACUACACAGCCAUCCUAACAAGUGGUGUCAAGAAGCUGGAGCUUGCGCCGCAAUGAGGAGUUGAGAACGACUAGCGGUGGAAAGACCAGUAGGAAGAGCCAGAUGACGACAUGAGUGCAUCAGUUGACCAGUGGGCCCAUGGCAGUCGGCAACCAAGGGGAAAAGCUAGAUGAACUGGCAUGUCUGGUCAAAUUUCUCAUCCGGUCUCAAACAGCCAGAGACCAGCAGAUGGACAAAGACUUCUCCCGUCAAGAACAAAGUAGUUGCUCCGCAGUGCCACAGUUGUCAUUUUGAGGCUUGAGGAGAGCCCUGUUUCUUGUCCCCUUUAAAACAACCCUUAUCAAUUUUUUUGGCUUGUUUGUUGAUGUUUGCGUACACUGUUAAAAUAACUUAAAAUCUACUGGUGUGAUGCAUCUACAAAAGAUAAGGAAGUUGGAUGUAGAUUUUUGAAUAUCAAUGUGACUGUGUUGUACAGGUCAGGUUUUGAUAUGAUUCAACAAUGAUCCAUUCCAAAGAUGGCGAGCCGCUGUAUCCACCGUGUCAGGAUUUACUGUGAUGAUGACUGAUGUCAAGAGAAUUUGAAAUUCUUUGGAUGGACUGUGUACUUUGCUGAUUCUGCUUGAGUGGUAGGACAGACUUGCACUUCACUGCUCCUCUGCAUAUCUUGC